GGAUGACACUUUUCGGAGCGUAAACUCCUUUUAUCAGGAAAGAAUAAUGACGGUACCUGAUGAAUAAGCACCGGCUAACUCCGUGCCAGCAGCCGCGGUAAUACGGGGGGUGCAAGCGUUACUCGGAAUCGCUGGGCGUAAAGGACGCGUAGGCGGAUUAUCAAGUCUUUUGUGAAAUCUAGUGGCUUAACCACUAAACUGCUUAGGAAACUGAUAGUCUAGAGUAGGGGAGAGGUAGAUGGAAUUCUUGGUGUAGGGGUAAAAUCCGUAGAGAUCAAGAAGAAUACCCAUUGCGAAAGCGAUCUGCUGGAACCUAACUGACGCUGAGGCGUGAAAGCGUGGGUAGCAAACAGGAUUAGAUACCCUGGUAGUCCACGCCCUAAACGAUGUAUACUAGUUGUUGCUUUGCUAGUCAAGGCAGUAAUGCAGCUAACGCAUUAAGUAUACCGCCUGGGGAGUACGGUCGCAAGAUUAAAACUCAAAGGAAUAGACGGGGACCCGCACAAGCGGUGGAGCAUGUGGUUUAAUUCGAAGAUACGCGAAGAACCUUACCUGGACUUGACAUCCUAAAAACAUCUAAGAGAUUAGAAAGUGCUAGUUUACUAGAAUUUAGUGACAGGUGCUGCACGGCUGCCGUCAGCUCGUGUCGUGAGAUGUUGGGUUAAGUCCCGCAACGAGCGCAACCCACGUGUUUAGUUGCUAACAGCUCGGCUGAGCACUCUAAACAGACUGCCUUCGUAAGGAGGAGGAAGGUGUGGACGACGUCAAGUCAUCAUGGCCCUUAUGUCCAGGGCGACACACGUGCUACAAUG
rnacentral:rRNA from 1 species